GACGAACGCUGGCGGCGUGCCUAAUACAUGCAAGUAGAACGCUGAAGGAGGAGCUUGCUUCUCCGGAUGAGUUGCGAACGGGUGAGUAACGCGUAGGUAACCUGCCUGGUAGCGGGGGAUAACUCUUGGAAACGAUAGCUAAUACCGCAUAAGAGUAGAUGUCGCAUGACAUUUGCUUAAAAGGUGCAACUGCACCACUACCAGAUGGACCUGCGUUGUAUUAGCUAGUUGGUGAGGUAACGGCUCACCAAGGCAACGAUACAUAGCCGACCUGAGAGGGUGAUCGGCCACACUGGGACUGGGACACGGCCCAGACUCCCUCGGGAAGCAGCAGGAGGGGAACUUCGGCAAUGGACGGAAGUCUGACCGAGCAACGCCGCGGGAGGGAAGAAAGGUUUCGGAUCGGAAAGCUCUGUUGUAAGGGAAGGAAGAGUGUGGGAGUAAAAAGUUCACACUAUGACGGUAUCUUACCAGAAAGCGACGGCUAACUACGUG
rnacentral:rRNA from 1 species